UACAGAGGGGGCAAGCGUUGUUCGGAAUUACUGGGCGUAAAGCGCACGUAGGCGGAUACUUAAGUCAGGGGUGAAAUCCCGGGGCUCAACCCCGGAACUGCCUUUGAUACUGGGUAUCUCGAGUCCGGAAGAGGUGAGUGGAAUUCCGAGUGUAGAGGUGAAAUUCGUAGAUAUUCGGAGGAACACCAGUGGCGAAGGCGGCUCACUGGUCCGGUACUGACGCUGAGGUGCGAAAGCGUGGGGAGCAAACAGG
rnacentral:rRNA from 1 species